GCUGGAACACCGGUUUUCGUACGAUCACCGAAGUUAAGCAACAUCGGGCCUUAUCAAUACCUAGAUGAUUGACCGCCUAGGACUACAAGGUGCUGUA